AGGGAGCUGUUCUGAUUGUGCUACUGAGACUGUUCUUCCAGUGAGUGAAAUGUUUUCAUAUUGCAGUGUAAUCGUGGGCAUUGUGGAUGGCACAGUGGUGAAAAUGGGAACACACACAGAGCUGAUGGGGAAAAAGGAGCCAGAUUAUUCACUUCCAACCUCACAGGAGCUGAUCACAGAGCACAUGCAUUUGAACACCCAAAAAAAUGAUAUUGAAGCACAAAGAGUGAAGAAACAAAAGGCUUGAGCUGUGGAGUUCGAAGUUUGCCCUGCAGCUUUCCAAAGAUUGAAAAUUCUCGGCUCUUGCAUGACAAGGUCAGCCAACUACAUAGACAAGUGCCAAACUUCAGCGUUCCCCAGUGUGUAAAUGUAUUGGGAGACUGGACUUUUAAUUAGCACAGUUCCAGGAAGAGCAAAGAAUCAGUGAGAAUGAAGUAGACAAGAUGCAUCAAUUAAUGUAUUUCAACUGAACUGUUAUAGAAACCUCGGACAAAUGACAGCGAUUGAACAAAUAAUUGCGAACAGCAAAUCUGCCCAUACAGUUUCCUUUCUCAAGAAUUGAAGCAACUUAAAUUCAGAAAAGAACAGGAGUGAGAAAAGGGAAGAAAAUGAUAUGGAAAAAUAAGAACAUUUUGUUUUGAUAUUUUCAAGCUGAAAUCUUCUCUUUCAAAGCACUAUCUUCAGUUCUAAAUGAACUUGAACAUUACAAACAGCAAUCAAAGAAGGCUGAAUAACUCAGAAAAGGAAAGGAGAGCACUUCUCUGAUUUGGACCAACUUUGGACUGUGCUUUGUUUGCAUAGUUUGUGGUUCAGCUGUCAGACAGAAAAUUGCCAUGAUUUUAAUGGCAUUAAUUCUGUAUUCCAGUCUGAACCCAAACCAGAUGACAUAAAAUCCAAGGAUGGGCUGAUUUUCAGAGAUUGCUGUUAAAAUGCAAACCAGAAUGAGAGAAGAGAAAUUACAAAAUGUCAGUGUCCUCACAAGGGGAGCGUGAUUCUGCCCUCCAAACAUAUCCCUUCCAGCUCUGUGUGACUAUAGCAAUUCUGUGCAUAGACUGAUGACGCACUCAGCCCAGGAGAAUGUUCAGAAUAAAGUAUAAAAGGAUAUUGGGUUUUUGACAGAUUGCUAUACACAUUUCUGUCAGGAGGGAUGAGGCCAUGCAGAAUAACUUCGCUGACAUGUUCAUGGCCUCUUAUUUUCCUCCUCUCCAUUUCACCACUCCCUUAUAGUGCUUGCUGUGAGCCAGGGGAUGAGAUUUAAAAUUAAUGUAAUACUUAAUACCCAAUGGCAAACAGAAUUUUUUUUUUUAAUUACCUGAUUAUAUGUUACUGGCACAAGAUGUGAAGCCAUCACAUAAAACAUCUUUAUUUUGGAUUUCUCUUUUCAAUAUGGAAAGCUGCUGAUAUCUCCUAUGGCAUCUUUGCUACCUGUUAGAGGAAUGCUGGAGAUCACGGCAUUGUCAUGGCCAACAAGGAUGAAAAGGGACUGCAUGUCAGUGACACUUUGUGUCUCCAGGAUUUAAAGAUAUUGUAAU
ensembl:lncRNA